rnacentral:rRNA from 1 species
UACAGAGGGUGCAAGCGUUAAUCGGAAUUACUGGGCGUAAAGCGUGCGUAGGUGGUUCGCUAAGUCGGAUGUGAAAGCCCGGGGCUUAACCUCGGAAUUGCGUUUGAUACUGGUGAGCUAGAGUGUGGUAGAGGGUGGUGGAAUUCCCGGUGUAGCGGUGAAAUGCGUAGAUAUCGGGAGGAACAUCAGUGGCGAAGGCGGCCACCUGGACCAACACUGACACUGAGGCACGAAAGCGUGGGUAGCAAAC